rnacentral:rRNA from 1 species
GUGGGGAAUAUUGGGCAAUGGGGGAAACCCUGACCCAGCAACGCCGCGUGAAGGAAGAAGGUUUUCGGAUCGUAAACUUCUAUCCUUGGUGAAGAUAAUGACGGUAGCCAAGAAGGAAGCCCCGGCUAACUACGUGCCAGCAGCCGCGGUAAUACGUAGGGGGCAAGCGUUGUCCGGAAUGAUUGGGCGUAAAGGGCGCGUAGGCGGCCUGGUAAGUCUGGAGUGAAAGUCCUGCUUUUAAGGUGGGAAUUGCUUUGGAUACUGUCGGGCUUGAGUGCAGGAGAGGUAAGCGGAAUUCCCGGUGUAGCGGUGAAAUGCGUAGAGAUCGGGAGGAACACCAGUGGCGAAGGCGGCUUACUGGACUGUAACUGACGCUGAGGCGCGAAAGUGUGGGGAGCAAACAGGAUUAGAUACCCGGGUAGUCC